rnacentral:sRNA from 1 species
UGGCCGAGUGCCUCACCCCCGCCAUUUAUGCCAAGCUUCGCAACAAGGUGACACCCAACGGCUACACGCUGGACCAGUGCAUCCAGACUGGAGUGGACAACCCUGGCCACCCCUUCAUAAAGACUGUGGGCAUGGUGGCUGGUGACGAGGAGUCCUAUGAGGUGUUUGCUGACCUUUUUGACCCCGUCAUCAAACUAAGACACAACGGCUACGACCCCAGGGUGAUGAAGCACACAACGGAUCUGGACGCAUCAAAGAUCACCCAAGGGCAGUUCGACGAGCAUUACGUGCUGUCUUCUCGGGUGCGCACUGGCCGCAGCAUCCGUGGGCUGAGCCUGCCGCCCGCCUGCACCCGGGCCGAGCGAAGGGAGGUAGAGAACGUGGCCAUCACUGCCCUGGAGGGCCUCAAGGGGGACCUGGCUGGCCGCUACUACAAGCUGUCCGAGAUGACGGAGCAGGACCAGCAGCGGCUCAUCGAUGCAUAAUUAUGAUAAGACAUUUCUCAUCUGGAUAAAUGAGGAGGAUCACACCAGGGUAAUCUCAAUGGAAAAAGGAGGCAAUAUGAAACGAGUAUUUGAGCGAUUCUGUCGUGGACUAAAAGAAGUAAGAUGUUAUCUGAGAUUUCUGGAUAUUUAUUAAAAUAAAAUUACCGUAUUGUUUGUUCUUGAAA